AAUAAAGUUUCUCUGAACUCAUAUUUGCAAUGCACCAAUGGAUCAAUUGGUCCCACAACCUAACAUUAUAUCAAAUUGUACUACUCUUCAUACACAAUAGUAAGAAUGAUCAAUAGUCUCUACAUCUCUAUUGCACCACAUACACAUAUUCACCACUUGAACACAUUUUCCACAUAAUCUAGCUCGACUUUGAACACAAUUGCGUCGUCCCCCACAUAGUUUUUCACUUUUUGAGGUACUACCAAACUCCAAAAUGUGUUCUAAUCACCAUCUACUUUCAACUAUGAAUUAUCCAUCAAGUUUGUCUUACAGAAACGAUAGUCAAACCUAACACUAUAAAUGACAUACUCAUUU
rnacentral:lncRNA from 1 species